rnacentral:lncRNA from 1 species
GCACCUUUUAUUUUUAGGAUCUUAGAAGGUUGGAACAAGACAUUUUUAUUAUUUUCCUGGUCUCACGACUAGGGAAAUCGGAAUCACAAAGACAUUUAUGAUCGUGAUGACUUGGACAGCCAUGCAGCAAACAAUGCGAAAGAGGAAAUCGCCAGAGUAAAUACUCCCUCCCUGGCCGAUUUCAAGCCACCACGGCGACAUCACUGAGUGCGAAGUUGAGAGGAGACACACACAAUCAGGUCUUUCCCCUGCCACACGCCCGCUUCAGCACAUCUCAGGAUUUUUCCCGAAUUCAAAGGAGGUCUUCCUGGAAAAGAACCAAGCAGUAUCUGCAGCAGCAUCACCGAAAUGUGCUCUACUGGCAUCCCCACGGGACAGGAACAGUCGGGGUAACUGAGGGCACAUGGACUGAGCCCAGCAGGUGCCUCCUCCCCCCACUAGGAGCUGAUACCCAAUGCCCAGGCACAUGCUCCCUGUGUUCUAGGGAAGUAGGGACAUGCAGCAGCAGCAGGAACUCAGAAUUUCAGGGUGAGGGGGCUCUUAUGGAACCCUGCUAGUAAUCACUCAGUAAAGACUCGAGAGUUCGCAGUAUGGGAAAGGGGGGUGUUGCCAGCAGCCCUGGUACUCACAUAAGCAGUACCUUCAGCCUCAAGCUGCUGCCACAGGCAGAGGUGGGUGAGCUCCAUAUAACGCACUAAAUUAAAGUGGAAUGGAAGAUCUCCAAUUAAUCAUUCAAAUUUGUGUCUAAGUAACCAUGAUGCUCCAUUAUGAAUUUCAAGUA